GACGAACGCUGGCGGCGUGCUUAACACAUGCAAGUCGAGCGGUAAGGCCCUUUCGGGGGUACACGAGCGGCGAACGGGUGAGUAACACGUGGGUGACCUGCCUUUAGCUCUGGGAUAAGCCUGGGAAACCGGGUCUAAUACCGGAUAUGACUCCGCGGCGCAUGUUGUGGGGUGGAAAGCCUUGUGCGGCUAGGGAUGGGCCCGCGGCCUAUCAGCUUGUUGGUGGGGUGAUGGCCUACCAAGGCGACGACGGGUAGCCGGCCUGAGAGGGCGACCGGCCACACUGGGACUGAGACACGGCCCAGACUCCUACGGGAGGCAGCAGUGGGGAAUCUUGCGCAAUGGGCGAAAGCCUGACGCAGCGACGCCGCGUGAGGGAUGACGGCCUGG
rnacentral:rRNA from 1 species